GCGGAUAUGGCGGAAUUGGUAGACGCGCUAGUUUCAGGUACUAGUGUUCACAAGACGUGGGGGUUCGAGUCCCUCUAUCCGCACCA
rnacentral:tRNA from 10 species